AGUGAACGCUGGCGGUAGGCCUAACACAUGCAAGUCGAACGGCAGCACAGUAAGAGCUUGCUCUUACGGGUGGCGAGUGGCGGACGGGUGAGGAAUACAUCGGAAUCUACUUUUUCGGGGGGGAUAACGUAGGAAAACUUACGCUAAUACCGCAUACGACCUACGGGUGAAAGCAGGGGAUCUUCGGACCUUGGGUGUUUGAAUUAGCCGAUGUCGGAUUAGCUAGUUGGCGGGGUAAAGGCCCACCAAGGCGACGAUCCGUAGCUGGUCUGAGAGGAUGAUCAGCCACACUGGAACUGAGACACGGUCCAGACUCCUACGGGAGGCAGCAGUGGGGAAUAUUGGACAAUGGGCGCAAGCCUGAUCCAGCCAUACCGCGUGGGUGAAGAAGGCCUUCGGGUUGUAAAGCCCUUUUGUUGGGAAAGAAAAGCAGCAGGUUAAUACCCCGCUGUUCUGACGGUACCCAAAGAAUAAGCACCGGCUAACUUCGUG
rnacentral:rRNA from 1 species